UGAGGGCAUCUAUGAAAUAAUUCUUUGAAUCUUUCUCACACCUCAUAUAAGGACUCGUCAUCCAAUUAUUGAAAAGUGGUGAUCUCAUUUC
rfam:Gossypium arboreum cultivar AKA8401 contig_55583_1, whole genome shotgun sequence.